rnacentral:rRNA from 2 species
CACGCCGUAAACGCUGAUUACUAGGUGUAGGGGGUAUAGACUCCCUCUGUGCCGCAGUUAACGCAUUAAGUAAUCCACCUGGGGAGUACGGCCGCAAGGUUAAAACUCAAAGGAAUUGACGGGGGCCCGCACAAGCAGUGGAGUAUGUGGUUUAAUUCGAAGCAACGCGAAGAACCUUACCAGGGCUUGACAUCCUCGGACGACACUAGAGAUAGUGUUUUCUCUUCGGAGACUGAGAGACAGGUGG